rnacentral:tRNA from 1 species
GGAGCUAUACUCAAGUGGUCAAGAGGGCGGGUUGAUAUCUCGCUAGGUCGAUUUUUAUCGAUGCGUGGGUUCGAAUCCCACUAGCUAAA